rnacentral:pre_miRNA from 1 species
AGGGGGGGGGCGAAUCCUGGGCUGUGUCCUGGCGCCCUGUGCUCCCGUUCUGCGCUGUUUGAUUCAUGCUCCCGGCCGCGCAGCCACCU